rnacentral:lncRNA from 10 species
CAGCAGCACAUCACAACCCAAACAAUGACAUCAAAUCCAAGACAUAACACUGUAAUCACAGAAGUGGUAUGUAACAGAAAGAAAAGAAAAGAAAAGAAAAAGGUGGUUCAACAUAAGUAAUGUCUUCUUUCAAAAAAAGAAAUGAAAACAAGACAGACUGCGUUAACAUGUCCCCAGUCAAAAGAUAUGCUGAGAUCUAACAGAUGAAAGAAGAACCAGAGAAACUCCAUUUUGAAGUAAAGUUGACAGAUUCAUCUUCUACCAUGCUUGGACAUCAGUGCUCCUGGUUCCUGGGCCUUUGAACUUGGAUGAGGACUUACUUAGACCAUUGUCUCCCUUGGUUCUCAAGCCUCUGGGUUGUGCUGGAACUACACUGCUGGCUUUCCUGGGAUUUUAACUUGCAGACAGCAGAUUGUGGGACUUUUCAGCCUGCAUAACUGCAUGAACAAAUCCUCAUAACAAAGCUCUUUCUAAACUU